AGCUUGCUCUGUGGGAUCAGUGGCGAACGGGUGAGUAACACGUGAGCAACCUACCCCUGACUCUGGGAUAAGCGCUGGAAACGGCGUCUAAUACUGGAUACGAGUGGCGACCGCAUGGUCAGCUACUGGAAAGAUUUAUUGGUUGGGGAUGGGCUCGCGGCCUAUCAGCUUGUUGGUGAGGUAAUGGCUCACCAAGGCGUCGACGGGUAGCCGGCCUGAGAGGGUGACCGGCCACACUGGGACUGAGACACGGCCCAGACUCCUACGGGAGGCAGCAGUGGGGAAUAUUGCACAAUGGGCGCAAGCCUGAUGCAGCAACGCCGCGUGAGGGAUGACGGCCUUCGGGUUGUAAACCUCUUUUAGCAGGGAAGAAGCGAAAGUGACGGUACCUGCAGAAAAAGCGCCGGCUAACUACGUGCCAGCAGCCGCGGUAAUACGUAGGGCGCAAGCGUUAUCCGGAAUUAUUGGGCGUAAAGAGCUCGUAGGCGGUUUGUCGCGUCUGCUGUGAAAUCCGGAGGCUCAACCUCCGGCCUGCAGUGGGUACGGGCAGACUAGAGUGCGGUAGGGGAGAUUGGAAUUCCUGGUGUAGCGGUGGAAUGCGCAGAUAUCAGGAGGAACACCGAUGGCGAAGGCAGAUCUCUGGGCCGUAACUGACGCUGAGGAGCGAAAGGGUGGGGAGCAAACAGGCUUAGAUACCCUGGUAGUCCACCCCGUAAACGUUGGGAACUAGUUGUGGGGUC
rnacentral:rRNA from 1 species